GGGAAAGUGUGUUCUCCUUCAUGGAGAGCACGUGUUGCGGUGGGGUCUGCCGAGCCACCCCUCUGUUACCAGGCAGGGUCUCUAAAGAUGGCCUGGGGCAGUGAUUGGUUCACUGGGUUGCUCGGGUAAAAGUUAUGUUGCAAUUUUGGUGGGCGGGGUAAAAUGUUUAAAUACUCUGCACGCAGCCUGGAGCUUUCUCUUUGCUGCGUGCAAUGGAUCACCCGCCCACCCGCCCUAAAGUAAGGGGUUGUUGCAUUGACCUUGCUAUGCCUGUCAUGAGGUCGUCUGACGUUGGGGCAGGGGCCUGGUAGGAAUUUUGUCCAUCUGGCUGAUUGGCCGGGCCAUUUGGUUUUUGCCUACUGCGUAGCAAAUCGUCACAACUUGUAAGGCUGCGGUUAGGCAUUGGUUAUAAAUUGGUGGAGGAGGGGUUAGGAUAGGCUGGGCCUGCCCCUCCAUGGUUGCAGCGGAAAGGGAAUUCCGUUAAAGGAAUCCUGGGGCUUGCCAUCUUUUCAUCCAAUCCCUGGAAUGGGACUAGGGCCGGCAAGCCUUCGGGGAGCAUGCGGGUGAGAAUUGAGGGUCUGUGACUCAGCUCCAUUUCUCCCCGACUUGUUUUCCCGCACUGGCUUUCGGUGGUGCCCGGAAGUCAGUUCUGUCCCCAGGCGGGGGGACAGAUAGUCUUAACCAAUGCCUAAACAACCACUCACGGUUUUGUAUUUAAAUAAAGUUGUGGCCAAAAUUAUGCCAAAAACCUUAAACAAAAAUUAAGUGUGCGUUGUGAGUUAUUUGGGGGGUGGCUUGGGGACCUCGACAUGCAACGAGGAGGAGGAGAUAGGUAGCACUCCAAGUGGGGACUGAGGGGCAGAAUAUUGGCAGGCUGGAGACGCGAACCUGGUUCCCCAGAUUACGAGACUACCGCUCUUAACCACUACACCACAGUGGAAGAGUCAGUAGCCUUUGUAUUUGCCCAUCAUAACAUGAGGAACCCCCCCCCCACGUGGGUCAUCGUAUAAUUUCAGAAAUGUAGAAAAUAAAAUUUCAGAAUUAAAAUAGAAACUUUUCUUUCAUGACUCAGGAGAUGGUUUGCAUAGGAUGGGAUUGUGGUAUAUGUGUGUGGCAGGGGACUCAAAUUACAAUACUUUUACCCCCCCCCCAAAGCCCUAUGACACAACCCAUCGUAAUAUUGGGAGGGACAAUGGGUUUGGUUUUCUUUGGAAGAGAGAUCACUGGAGUCUCAGUGCAUUUUUUAAAAAAGUACUUACCCAUGAACAAGUUGUUAUUUUCUCACGCAGAUCGAACUUACAACGUCCCAGCGAAGGUGGAGUGGGAAAGAUGCCAGCUUCAAUUUUCUCUUCCAAUGAGCCAACAGUGACUGCUUUUGAGCAAUGAGCCAACAAUCUCCUCCCUAACAAAAGGAAGUUUAUACAAUGCAAUGUGAUCGUAUAUCAUUUUUGCAUUGAGAUACCAGCCCAUAAUCCUUUACAUUAAACCUUGACAACUUUGCUCAAAAUUGUGAACCAGC